rnacentral:rRNA from 1 species
UACGUAGGGUGCAAGCGUUGUCCGGAAUUAUUGGGCGUAAAGAGCUCGUAGGCGGUCUGUCGCGUCGGCUGUGAAAACCCGGAGCUCAACUCCGGGCCUGCAGUCGAUACGGGCAAACUGGAGUGUUGCAGGGGAGACUGGAAUUCCUGGUGUAGCGGUGAAAUGCGCAGAUAUCAGGAGGAACACCGGUGGCGAAGGCGGGUCUCUGGGCAACAACUGUCGCUGAGGAGCGAAAGCGUGGGGAGCGAACAGG